CGCAAGACCGGAAGGGGCCGAUACAUGGCCACCCAAGGGCGGGGCCGGGCUGAGCGGGGCCCGGCGGCCCUCCCGAAAGUGGCGGUUUGCUGGAGGCGGUUACCUAGGAAUCCCGAGUAGUUUGAAUGUGUGGCGACCUGUGCACCGGUGCUUGGUCGGUGCUAUCUCAGCAGGAGUGGGACCCCCGAGGCCUAAGAAACAGGCUUUUAUCUGGCUCGGGACUCCCCGGCAUUCAUCGCUUCCCUCCAUAACCGGAUAGCAGUUAUUUGGACUCAGCCUCAGACCCAGGGGUCACAUGCCAGGAAGGAUGGCCCCCCUCAAGAAGCCUCGAAAUGCCGCAAGGUUGCCCCUGGCUUUAAACCCCCUGAAGAGCAAGGACGUGUUGGCAGUGCUGGCCGAAAGGAACCAGGCUAUAGUGCCAGUUGGGGCUUGGGUGGAACCUGCCUUGCCAGAUAGUUCGGAAGUCCCAGCAUAUACUUCAGCAUAUAUGAUUGAAGAAGAACUAAAGGAACAACUAAGAAAAAAACAAGAAGCUCUGAAGCAUUUUCAGAGACAAGUCAAACGCCGAGUAAAUCAACAAAUCAGGUUGCGAAAAAAGCAUCAGCUUCAGAGAUCUUAUGAAGCAGCAGAAAAAGAAGGCUCUAUAGCCAUGCAGUCCUCAGAUCCAACACAUUUAACUCCUAAAAGAACAAGUGUUUUUCCAAAGAACUUGAAUGCUGCAAUUGGAAGUGCUAGGUUACCUCCUUCCCAGGUGCUGGGGGAUGGACUAGAAGAUAGAGAGAAUCAGAAUGAAUUACUCCAACAACAAGCCCAGGCUCUUAGUCAAACCAUGAAACAGGCUCGUCACCGACUGGCAUCAUUUAAGACUGUGAACAAAAAAAAUGUGUCAGUGUUUCCAGAUGGUAGAAGAAAAACCUUUCCCCACCGAGAGGAACCUGACUCUGAGGAAUCUUCAUCUAUUUUGAUAGAUAAAAAAGGGAGAGAAAAUUUGUUUUGGGGAGACCAACAGGAUCUCCUUUCUGAAGACAGGGACAAACCUUUCAGCAGAGUUCAGAAAGCACAAUUCAAAAAUCCAUUAUUUGCUGUGAUGAAAGAGGAAGAGCAAAAGCAGUUAGAUCUUCAAGGCCUUCAGGAUAUUCUUCCAGAAGCCCAGGAUUAUCUUCCAGAAGCCCAAGGUGAUCUGCUGAAAAUCCAGGGUGAUUUGACAGGAGUCCAGAGUGUUGAGCUAGAAGCUAAGAGUAUUGAGCCAAGGCUCAGCACCCAGGUUGUUGAGGUGGAAGGCCAAGCCACUGAGCCUGAAGCCCAGGCUGUUGAGACUGAAAUCCAGACCGUUGAGCCUGAAGCCCAGGCCAUUGAGCCUGAAGCCCAGGCUAUUGAACCUGAAGCCCAGACCACUGAGCCUGAUGCCCAGGCUGUUAAGACAGAAACUCAGGAUAUUGUGCCAGAAGCCCAGAAUAUUGAACUAGAAGAUGGGAGUAUUGUGUCUGAAGUCCAAGAUUUGCUACCCGAAGAACAGUGUGUUCUUCCCACAGACCAGAAUGUUCUACUCAGAUGUCAGGACCAGGACUUUCUACCUAAAAACCAGGUUUUUCUACCCAAAGACCAGAAUAUUCUACCCAAAUGUCAGGACCAGCAUGUUCUCUCUGAAGACCAGAAUAUUCAGUCCAAAUUUCAGGACCAGGAUUUUCUACCCAGAGACCAACACCAGCAUUUUCUAUUCAGAGACCUGUGUGUUCUCCCCAGAGUACAGGAUUUUCCACCCAGAGAUCAGAAGGCAAAUUUGAAGCAGCCAGCAUCAAUUUUGACAGACAGGAGAGGGAGAGAGGUGUUUCCUCUGGAUGCCCAUCAGGAUCUUCUACACAGCAGUCAAGAUCAGACCUCCAUCAGGGACAAGAAAGUACGCUUCAAGGAGUCAUAUUCUGAUAUGUCAAGUGAGAAAGGGAGAGAAGGCUUUUCCCUGGCAAGUUAUCAGUACCUGCCUCCUAAACUCCAGGACUAUACCUUCAUCAGAGAUCAGAACAAGUGUCUCAAGCAACCUGCCUCUUUUGAGAAAUGGGAGAUUGAAAGAAGAAUUGUUUCUGGAGUGCCAUCGACCUUAUGCUUCAGGCAGCAGCCGUCUGUUGGGACAGCAGAAAGAUGGCAAGAGGAUUUGUUUCUGGAUGGCCAUCAGCAACUUCCACCCAAGCACCAGAGAGAGGCUUCCAGCAGAAGACAGGUGUAUGGUGAAUGUCAGUCAAGAUUGAACACCGAAUUCCAAGUUCCACUGGCACUUCAGUCUGGAGUAGAUCAAGAAGAAGACAAGAAAGAGCGUCAAAAGCAAUACCUGCGAUACAGACGACUUUUCAUGGAUAUUGAAAGAGAACAAGUAAAAGAACAACAAAGGCAAAAAGAACAUCAAAAGAAAGCUGAAAAAAUUAAAAAAAAGAAAGAGCAGCAACGUUACGCUGAGGAGCAGAGGAUACUAAGAAUGAACUUCCAUGAAGAGCCAUGUUCAGGAGAGAAGAUGAGUGAGAAAAUAGCCCAGCUACAGCUUGAGGAAGUAAAAGGAGCCAGAGAAAAACAACAACAGAGAGAGAAGGAAUGCCAAAGAUAUACGGAAGCUCUAAGAGCCCAGAUCCAGGAGAAAAUGCAGCUGUAUAAUAUUACUUUACCUCCACUAUGCUGUUGUGGUCCUGAUUUUUGGGAUGCGCAUCCUGAUACCUGUGCCAACAAUUGUAUUUUCUAUAAAAACCCUAGAGCAUAUACCCGGGCACUACAUUCGGUCAUCAACUCCUGUGAUAUCCCUGUGGGGAGCUCAGCUCUUCGAGUCGCCAUGCAUAAUUUGGUUUCUGCACACAGACGGACUUUGAAAAAUGUGUAAUGAGAAUCUGAAUCCAACUAGAGAUGUCAAGUGAGAAGUUGCUGCGAUCAAGGUCAAAGAGGUUGCUGCCUGUUUUCUCCUGUAGGAUUUUGGUGAUCUCCUGUCAACAUUUGGAAUUAGCAAGCUGAGAACUACUGGAAGGAACUUAAAAGUUGAUGAACAGCUGCCUCCCCCUCCGACCCCCCAACACUUGUCUGGUUACAAAACUUUUAAAAAAUAAUUACAGAUAUACAGGAAGUUGUAAAAGUAGUUCAGAUAGGUUCUAUGUAGGCUUCACCUGGUUUCCCCCAAUGGUUAUAUUUUAUGUAACUAUAGUAUAAUAUCAAAACCAGAAAGUUGACAUUGGUACAAUAUGUAUGUAUAGUUUUAUGUGUGCCAUUUCCACCUGUGUAGAUUUGUGUCAAUACCACCACAGUCAAGAUGCAAAAUUAUUCCAUCACCACAAAGAUCUCCUCUUACUACCCCUGUAGUCACACUCGCACACCCCUCCCGUUUACCACCAUCUCUAACCCCCGGCUACCACUAAUCCAUUUCCAUCUCCAUAAUUUUGUCAUUUCGAGAACAUUAGAUAAGUGGAAUCAUAUAGCAAGUGGUCAUUUGAGAUUAAUUUUUUUUCUUUCAGCUUAAUGACACCAAGAUCCAUCCAAGUUGCUGUGUGUACCAAUAGCUUGUUCCCUUUAUUGUUGAAUUGUGUCCCGUGGUAUGGGGACCACAGUUUGUUUAACCCCUCAUUCAUUGAGGGACAUUUUGGUUGUUUCUAGUAUUUUGCCAUUACAGAUAAGGCUGCUGUGACAUUUGUGUACAGGUUUGUGUGGACAGAAGAUUUCACUUAUCUGAGAUAAAUGCCCAGAGUAUCACUAAUGGACUGUAUGGUAAGUGAAUGUUUAGUUUUUUAAGAAAGGGAUAGCAUGCAGUUGGGUUCUGGUUUUAAUACUUUUUGUCAGGUGGGUGGUUGAAACCCAGCUUUCUUCUUGGCCUCCAUUGAUACCCUUUGGUGGGGGUUGGGGAAGGACACCUCAUUACUGCUUGGUUAGUGGGAGUUCUGGCUCUCUGCUGACAUCACCCUGCCUGGGAUCGGGAGGGUGCCUCCUUACUGAUCCCCACAUGUCCUCCACUAACACCAUGGUGUUAGGGGCUAGGUGCUCAUUACCACUGGAAGCUGGUGAAAGUUCUGGCCUCCCAUUCGUAGUUUCCUUACACCACCCUGACUGUGGGGCUGGGGGGAUACCUCGUUACAGCCAGGCCCAAAUGGAUGUUGAGGCUCCCUGCUUUGCCUUUGCUGGUAGGAGUGGGAAGGGGCUGCGAUGUUUUCUGUGGUGUUUGGUGGGAGUAGGGUGGCUAUUGCUAGACUACCCCCAUCUGGAUCCUUUAACUAGAUAUAGCUGGCUUUUCUUUUUUUCUUUUUCUUUGUGCUGUUGGCUCUUCCAGAUGGCUGGCUUCUCCAACAUCCAGUUCAGAUAGAUGAAGCAAAAAGCAAACACAGACAAAUCACUGCUGUGUCUCUCCUCAGAUCUUUUCCUAGCUCAUCCAGAGUCAUGUAUAUGUUGCUAUAUAUAUAUAUAAUGCCCAGGGUUUUCAGCAUUUAGUGAGAGUAGGGAGAAUUGAGUCUAUUCCAUCUUGAUCCAGAACGAGAAAUCUCACAAAGAGCUUUCAAGUGGCCAUUUCUCCUCUAAGGACAUAAAUCCGAUCAUGUCUCAACCCUCCUUAAAAACCUCCUCAUCAUAUCCUGUCCAAAGGCUAAAAUCCCAAGCCCUUAACAUGGACUUUCAAGGCUCGUCAGUAUCUUACAACCAGGUAUAACAGUCCUAACUUCUGCAGCUCCACACUUUGGACAUGCCACCCUCCAGCUACAUGGAUUUCACAUGCACCACUUAAAUAUAUCUAUCUUGCUUUUUUGUGCUUCCUUGUUGAGCACACACUAGUGCCUGUGCACUCUGCUGCUCCUGUCUCCUCUUGUCUACUUGGCAGUCACCUAGCUGUACUUCAGUUCUGCUUCUUGUAUUACCUGCUGUGAAGCCUUUCAAGACUUUCCCAGUUAUCUGACCCUUUCUCAGUGCCACCAUAGCAGAAUGAACAUAAUCCUACAAGCUAUUUCUUAUUUGAACUGAUUUGUUCUACUGGAGCUCUUUGAGGUGGAAUUGUGUCUCUAUCCAUCUCUGUCCCAUUCAACUGUAAAUCCUUUGAGGGUAGGGGCAGUACCUGUCCUAUUUAUCAAUGUAUCUCUAGCAGAGUGCUGUGCCUGGCACAUAGUCAACACUUAACAAGUGUUUAUUAAAUGAAUAGAUGAGUGACUUGUUACUUCCAGAUACCAGAGCAGCCAAAAAUUGUCCUCAGCUUGCAUGACUAGGCUGCCUGAGGCCACCUCACUUUUGUCAUUACCAUAUAUAUUUUUUUAUUUCUGCACACAUACCCCCCC